CAACCCUCAAGCCCCCGGGUUUGGUGUUGGGGAUCGGCUCUGCCUUCUGGCGGCGCCGCCCCCGAAAUACAUUGGCGGUCUCGCUGCAGCCUCCAUUGCGUAGUAGCUAACACCUCGCAACUGGAACGCGGCGCGGCCAUGCCGUAAAACCCCAACUUCUGAA
rnacentral:misc_RNA from 1 species